AUGCUUGUCUCAAGAUUAAGCCAUGCAUGUCUAAGUACAAGCCGUGUUUACACGGUGAGACCGCGGACGGCUCAUUAAAUCAGUCGUGGUCCAUAUGGGCUAGAGUUAAUCCUACUUGGAUAACUGUGGUAAUUCCAGAGCUAAUACAUGCAACUCUUAUCCCGACGUAGCGCGGUGCGCACUCCCGUGUGUGUCGUAGCGCUGACGGAUGCUUUUAUUAGACCAAACCGCUGAGUGCGUGUUCGUGUUCAUUCGCGGACACGCAUUGCUCGUUUAAUGGUGACUCUGGAUAACCUUAUUGACAAGCGCACGUACUCCUCGUGGGACGGCGCUGCCACUUUCGAGUGUCUGCCUUAUCAGCUAUCAACCGUUCGUUAUGUGCGCACGAUGGCUUUGACGGGUAACGGGGAAUCAGAGUUCGAUUCCGGAGAGGCAGCCUGAGAGACGGCUACCACGUCCAAGGACGGCAGCAGGCACGCAAAUUACCCAAUCCCAGCACCUGGGGGAGGUAGUGACGAAAUCUAACGAUGCGGGCGCCCUUUCUGGGGCCCCGCAAUCGGAAUGGCCACUUUCUAAACAACCUGUUGAGAACCUACUGAAGGGCAAGUCUGGUGCCAGCAGCCGCGGUAAUUCCAGCUUCAGUAGCAUCUAUUAAAGUUGCUGCGGUUAAAAGGCUCGCAGUUGAAUGUCAGUAUCGAGCGCAGGUCAGGUGGACGAUGGGGCGUGAACAUCCAAGGCGCUUCACACUCGUGUCGUUGUCUUUGCGUUCCCCAUAUGUAUAUACAUAUCUCGUGUUCGUGUGCGUACGAAAGUGCGUGCUCGGCGCUUGUGUGUUGUGUGGGUGUUUCGUUUGGCUUCGGCUUUGUAAGUUGCGUCGUUCACAUGCCCCCGUCCGUAACAAGCCUCCUCGCUUGUGUACAUAACGGAAUCUGUAUUACGGAGUGUGCGUUGCGGAGGGUACGAACGUUCUGCCGGGCCCUCACGUGUGUGUGUGUGUGUGCUCGCGUUCUCUCGUUGGUGUCAAAGCUAGCGGGUGCGUGUGUGUGUGUGCGCGCGUGCGUUUGGUGUUUUCUCGUGUGGAUGCGUCUCCCCCUUUUGCGCGUACGUCAAGCUCCAUCGGUUCUAUGGUCACCCUGAGUAAAUCAGAGUGCUCAAAGCAGUCGUAGGGGCCUUGUGCCCUUUGAACAGUCUAGCGGACUGACUUGGUUUUGCAUGGUAUGUCGAAAGACGACGUCUAGCGCUGGCUCAGAGUGUGUUUUGUCAGUGGUACAAGCCAGCCUAGACGUAAUGAUUAAAAGGGACAGUCGAGGGCACUGGUAUUGCGAGGCGAGAGGUGAAAUUCUAUGACCCCCGCAAGACCUCCUGAAGCGAAAGCGUCUGCCAAGGAUGUUUUCAUUAAUCAUGAACGAAAGUUAGAGGAUCGAAGGCGAUCAGAUACCGCCCUAGUUCUAACCCUAAACGAUGCCAACCACCAAUCCGCGUGUAGCACCUUUCUUAACGGGCUCGGCGGGCAGCUCCUUACUUACGGGAAACCAGAGUCUCUGGGUUCCGGGGGGAGUCUGGUUGCAAAGCUGAAACUUAAAGGAAUUGACGGAGAGGCACCACCAGGCGUGGAGCCUGCGGCUUAAUUUGACUCAACACGGGCCAUCUCACCAGGCCAGCACUCUUGUUCGAUUGACAGAUUGAGAGCUCUUUCUCGAUUUAGUGGAUGGUGGUGCAUGGCCGUUCUUAGUUGGUGGAGUGAUCUGUCUGGUUAAUUCCGAUAACGAACGAGACUCUCCCUGCUAACUAGUCGGUUGGAUCUUGAUCUUAUUUUACAUAUGUAUCGCUGCGAGUCGUGUUCCGAGUCAACUUGGCGUUGCUGGGGAGUGCGCUGGCGCGUGUUGUCCUUUCGUUGCGUUGUGUUCGCGCGUGUGUGCGUGUGUGUGUGUGUUUGCGCGCAAGCGCAGGUGUGCAUAUGCGUGUGUGUAUGUGUGGGUGCUCGUGCGGGAGUGUGCCGUGCGUGUUUUUGCGUUGCUUCUUUCGGUGCGUCAGGCCUUGGAUUGCACACUCCAAGUCCGCCGCUUUUGCUUAAAACUCUUCUUAGAGGGAUUCACGGUUCUGAAGCCGUAAGAGACUGAGAGCAAUAACAGGUCUGUGAUGCCCUUAGAUGUUCUGGGCCGCACGCGCGCUACAAUGCCGGGCACAGCAGGUACUUUUCCUACUCCGACAGGAGCGGGUAACCCUGUGAAAGCCCUAUGGUUUACAAUUUAACGGGUGUCGAGCUCGUCUCGAUGCUCUUCUGGCGUGAUUGGGCCUGGGUCUUGCAAUUUUUUCCCACUAACGAGGAAUGCCUUGUAGCGGCGGGUCACUGAGCCCGCCGUGACUCAGUCCCUGCCCUUUGUACACACCGCCCGUCGCUACUACCGAUUGGGUGUACCAGUGAGAGCCUUGGACUGGCGUCCGCUGCUUCCUUUACUGUGUAAGCAAGCGGGU
rnacentral:rRNA from 1 species